UCGCCCCGCCGGGUCUGCUCCCGGGCGCCGGCGCUGCUGCCUCGCUCCCCUCCGUCAUUUUGGGUAGACUUGGGGUUUGCAGAUCUUUGCUUGUGGUCGCUGUAAACCACGUUGUCUGCCCGAGUAGCAUCGGUAAAAAUAAACCACCCUAUGCAGAAAACCGCUGUGUCGGUUUUUGUUCUCGGAUUUAAGAGAAGACGGCGGGGAGCUCCGAGCCCGACCUAGGUCUGGCCGAGUAGGAACGAAGGCUGAAGGCGACUCUCGGAGUGGAGGAAGCGGCUCUGGGCUCGGCGCCGCCCGGGCUCUGAAGCUGGCAAGUGGAUUUACUCUGGGGAGAAGCGACCGUGUUUUGCGACCUUGCAAGACCUAUCUGUGCAGUAAUAUGAAGAGAGCAAGCACUGAAGUGGACCAAACAAAACUUCUAGUAAAUCAGAAAUGUGGUCACAGCCAGCCAGCGUACAAAGGCUGAGAGAGCUGCAGUGUUCAGGACAGAAACAAAUGCAGCAAAAUAAGCGGGGAAGCUUAUUCCCCUUAGAGCUACGCUUAUGGCAUUAUUAAGACCGCAGAGCGAUGUGCCCAAAGGUCUAGAACCCCGCUCGGAAGACAGCGUGCACAGCGCAGGCCAGCCCUCUGUACACGCGCCUCCCUUCAGCUCUGGCUUCCUGCUUCUCUCGCUGGGCCUCCUCUCUCUGUUAGCAAACAUGGUGGGCUUGCUUUGAAGCUGACUGCAUAAGACAGAAGAGGACCAUCCUAUUUCCUUUCAGCGCUUCUUUCACGUUACCAAAUUGUGAAGCCAGUGCUGCAAGCUGACAGCAUAACUGGUUAUGCAGAAGAAGCAGAAGCAGCGUUCAGGAGGUGGCACUGGACUGAUCAAGGGCAGCAUGGCAGAAAUGAAACUUUCAGCCCCUGCUCUUGCCAGGCAUUUCCACAGAAAUGUGCUUUUCAGGUUCAUGGCUGUACUAAUAUACACCAUUACACGCAUUUUGGAAAUCCAGCUCUUACACUGCUGAUCACACAUUUAUUUUCAAUCCCAAGGCCCCGGGGCACUCAAAAUGACAGCUUAAUUGAUUGUCAUACAUUUAAUCUUGGAUCACUGCUAAGGGCAUUUUCCCCAUGCUAGCCAGUGAUGAAUGACUACCUGGUCAUGAUGUCAGCAGUGCCCAGGAGAGAACUCCCCUUCAAGUAGCAUCUUGACUUACUUUUUUCACGAAGAGCUUUUAACAGUUGGUAGCUAUUGUGCAGUGGAAGAGAACAGCAAUUUUCUUCCUAUUUAGAGAAUUGUUGUGGUGUGAUGAUUUUGUAAUUUUAAGAUCUUGAGAUCAAGUCCACUGAAAUCCCCAUUCAUUACCAAUGAAUGGGCUUUUGAUCUAGCUUUAAUUCUUUCAGUUGAUGCAAGCUUCCUGAUUUAUUUAAUUAAUUCUAUUUUGCAUCCCUACUGCUUUUUAUCCUUUGGAUUUUGGUGCUUCUUUGUAGGCUAACAUUAGGUUAUAUGUUGAGACCAGAUCUUUCUCUGUCUCGCUAUUUUUACUGAGCUUUCACUCAGUCCUAAGGAAGCAUGUCCUGCUGGCUUGUUAUAUUUGGAUUGUUCCUGUGGUUUAGAUUUACUGGAUUUUAUUUUAAUGUGCCUCAGGUUGCUCAGUUGUUUGGUAAUGUGCAUUGCAGUCAUCUUCUGUUCUGAGUAAAGAAAAAAGACUAAUGUUUUUCAACAAUUUUAUAAUCUUGUUUCACGGUUCUCAGCAUUUCUGGAUAUUAGUUUUAAUGAAGCUUCUCUCAACCCUGCAACUGUGCAAUCCCUGUUCUGUCCCUUACUCUGAAGGAUCCCAAAAUAAAGACAAUUCUUAUCCAUUCUAAGCA
rnacentral:lncRNA from 1 species